AGAGUUUGAUCCUGGCUCAGGACGAACGCUGGCGGCGUGCCUAACACAUGCAAGUCGAGCGGGGUCCAUCCAGUGGCAACACUGGGGAAGACCUAGCGGCGAACGGGUGAGUAACACGUGAGGAACCUGCCCCGAAGACCGGGAUAACCCGAGGAAACUCGAGCUAAUACCGGAUACCCCCAUGAGAUCGCAUGGUCACAUGAGGAAAUGUCUUUUCGCUUCGGGAGGGCCUCGCGGCCUAUCAGCUAGUUGGCGGGGUAACGGCCCACCAAGGCAUCGACGGGUAGCUGGUCUGAGAGGACGAUCAGCCACACUGGGACUGAGACACGGCCCAGACUCCUACGGGAGGCAGCAGUGGGGAAUCUUGCGCAAUGGGCGAAAGCCUGACGCAGCAACGCCGCGUGGGGGACGAAGGCUCUCGGGUUGUAAACCCCUUUCAGGAGGGACGAAAUUGACGGUACCUCCAGAAGAAGCCCCGGCCAACUACGUGCCAGCAGCCGCGGUAACACGUAGGGGGCGAGCGUUGUCCGGAUUUAUUGGGCGUAAAGAGCUCGUAGGUGGCUCGGUAAGUCGGGUGUGAAAUUUCGAGGCUCAACCUCGAGACGCCACCUGAUACUGCUGUGGCUAGAGUCCGGUAGGGGAGCGUGGAAUUCCUGGUGUAGCGGUGAAAUGCGCAGAUAUCAGGAGGAACACCAGCGGCGAAGGCGGCGCUCUGGGCCGGUACUGACACUGAGGAGCGAAAGCGUGGGGAUCAAACAGGAUUAGAUACCCUGGUAGUCCACGCCGUAAACGUUGGGCACUAGGUGUGGGGUUCUAUCAACGGACUCCGUGCCGAAGCUAACGCAUUAAGUGCCCCGCCUGGGGAGUACGGCCGCAAGGCUAAAACUCAAAGGAAUUGACGG
rnacentral:rRNA from 1 species